UCAGACCAGAGCCCUCAGAAUGGCUCCUUCCACAUUCAAAAGUCCAAAUUUGGCUUCCUCUCCCUUUGGAAGAGGUUCAUUUCCUUGGAAAUUCUCCAGUCCAUGCAAACCAACUUGUGGCAGGUAGCUCCGGUUCUGACUGCCUAGGUCCUGACUUGUGCAUCACAUCCCACUGACCUUUGUCUUCAUCCGGUUGUCUUUGUUGCGAGUCGACUCUGAGAUGAUCUUCUCCUAGUGUAACUCCAGCAUGUAAUUGUGACAAAUAAAAUAUUCCAUUCGCCUCUCCAAACCUAAGUGUCAAAGUACCAGAUGAUGUGGGCAGGGUUGGGUCAUCUAAACUCUACCUGGUACUUCUAGGAGCACCUGUGUGGUUGGGCUAUAGCCAUAAGAGGAGAGAUAAACUUAAGUUGGAUCUAGUAGUACAAGCCUGUAAUUCCAGGAUUCAGGCAGCUGAAGCAGGAUGACCACUGUGAAUGAGGAAAACAGUGAUAAGGGGCGCAGCCAUGUAGCUCACAUGGUAGGAUGCUUGCCUUGAUUACACAAUGUUCCAGUACACAUGAGCCAGGCAUGGUAGAAUACACGUGUAAUCCUUGCACUCAGGGGCUGGAGACAGGAGGAUCAGACACUCAAAGUCAUCCUGGGCUACUUAGUGAAUUUGAUUCUAGGCUGGGAUACAUGAGAUCUUGUCUUUAAAAAAGGGAGUAGCUGGGCAGUGGUGGCGCACGCCUUUAAUCCCAGCACUCAGGAGGCAGAGGCAAGAGGAUCUGGACUUUAAGGCCAGUCUCUAGUACAAGUCAGUUUGGACUACCAGAACCCCAUCUCAGACGACGACAACAACAAACCCCUUUCAAGCCCAGUCCCUAGGGCUCCCAUGUUGGAACUCGUUCGAGCUUGAUUUUCCACAGGAGUACCUCUGUACAUUUGUCUGCAACGUAACACAAAAGGAACAAGUAAAACUUAUUUUAAAAACAAUAAAACCUCAAAGGUUUAUAUUUUAAAAA
rnacentral:lncRNA from 1 species